rnacentral:sRNA from 1 species
AGAGCCACACGGCGCGACAAGAUGGCGGAUAAGGAGAAGAAGAAAAAGGAGAGCAUCUUGGACUUGUCCAAGUACAUCGACAAGACGAUCCGGGUAAAGUUCCAGGGAGGCCGCGAAGGUGAGGAGGCUCCCGCUGUCGGUACCCCCUCUUUAAAAAUUUCAAAUAAACCCAGCAACAGAGAUGAUGAGGACGCAUGCGGAAGCACCUCUUUUAUUUAUUUUUAUUUUUUUUUUUUUUGAGACGCAGUCUCGCUCUGUCACCCGGGCUGGAGUGCAGUGGUGCGAUCUCAGCUCACUGCAACCUCCGCCUCCCAGGUUCAAGUGAUUCUUGUGCCUCAGCCUCCCGAGUAGCUGGAAUUAAUGUGUACCACCACGCCCGGCUAAUAUUUGUAUUUUUAGUAGAGACGCCAUGUUGGCCAGGAUGGUGUCAAACUCCUGGCCUCAAGCGAUCUGCCUGCCUCAGCCCCCUAAAUUGCUGGGAUUUCAGGCAUGAGCCACCAUGCCCAGCCUAGCAUUUUUGACUGGGCAAGUGAGCUGCCUUCUCCU